rnacentral:rRNA from 1 species
UACGUAGGGCGCAAGCGUUGUCCGGAAUUAUUGGGCGUAAAGAGCUCGUAGGCGGCUUGUCACGUCGGAUGUGAAAGCCCGGGGCUUAACCCCGGGUCUGCAUUCGAUACGGGCUAGCUAGAGUGUGGUAGGGGAGAUCGGAAUUCCUGGUGUAGCGGUGAAAUGCGCAGAUAUCAGGAGGAACACCGGUGGCGAAGGCGGCUUCCUGGACCAGCACUGACGCUGAUGCGCGAAAGCUAGGGGAGCAAACAGG